rnacentral:rRNA from 1 species
UGAGGAAUCUUCCACAAUGGGCGAAAGCCUGAUGGAGCAACGCCGCGUGCAGGAUGAAGGCCUUCGGGUCGUAAACUGCUUUUAUUAGUGAGGAAUAUGACGGUAACUAAUGAAUAAGGGUCGGCUAACUACGUG